rnacentral:misc_RNA from 1 species
CAUAUUACAUAUAUACAUAUACUAACAUAGAAGAGGAAGAAGAGACACGACGCCAUGUUUUGAUAUCGUCAUGCCCCCUUCUUAAAGUUCUACCUCUUGUAUCGUUUAAUAGUCGUUCGUGUCAGUGUUUUUUUUUUUUUAUCGUUACUCGACAUAACUCCGUGGCAUUCGCAUUCAUUUAUCUCAUUUUUAUCUAUUUAUCUCUAUCAUUCAAUCAUUUUUUUUCUCCCGUUCCAUUUGGAGGUGCUUUUUUCUGAUCUAUUGUCAAAAAACGUAAGAUUGCAUAGGAAGCACGUGCGAUAAAACCGUCGACGUUCAUCCUCGUGGUAUUUCUGUACUUUUCUGCACGUCGUUGCGUCGUGCUAUUAGUGCUGCCAAGUGGUCAAGUUUAACUAGGGACGUUGUAUAAUGUAAUAGUGUGAUUUGCUUGUAAUAUGGUGCUGCCACUGCUGGUGCUAGUGCUGCUGCCCCUAUAGCAACUGCUGUUGCUAGUGGUGUUGGAGUGUUUGUGUGGAGGCGCCCGUGUCUCCUCCGUAUCCCUUUUCAUGUCCUCCGGAAUAUCAGCUCUAGCAGAGAGGGGGGGUUUACCAAGCGUCGUCUACGUGGUGCUGGUGUCCUAGUGCGGGAACGUGCCGAUCUAUCCCCUUUUUAAAGGGGGGACUACGGCCACGGCGGCCGUUUUCACUGUUGUGUUACGAUUACGUCACGCGACGUGAGCCUUGCUUUUUUAUCUCGAGGUUUUAAUCGUCGCUACCACCGUUGCUGUUGCCGUUUCUGUUGCCGUUGCUGUAGCUGUUGCCGUUGCUGUAGCUGUUGCCGUUGCUGUAGCUGUUGCCGUAGUUGUUGUCGUAGCUGUUGCCGUCACCGUCACCGUCACCGUCGCCGUCGUCGUCGUUGCGUUUUCUUUGCCUAAGGAAGGAAAUAGGAAGUAGAGGUGGAGGAAGGGAAUAAAGAGGGAGAAGACGGUGGGGGCGGUGGCGGAGACGAAGGAGAAGGAAGACGACGACGUCGAGGACGGUGACGCGAACGACAAGAGGCACGAAGAAGAAGAGGAGGAGGAGGACGAGGAGGAGGAGGACGAGGAGGAGGAGGACGGGUCGUCGCGUAAAAUGGAGCUGCGCUUGCACUCACCAGCCGGAGCAGAACCGAUAGUUUAUCAGUGGCCCCUCACCUCCGGAUCAGGAUCCGAUCGUCACGAUGGAGCAUUAGACGUUGUAGAAACAAUGAGAUGGGUUUGCGAUGAUUUACCUGACUUAAAAUUACCUUUAGAAAAUAAUGUUCUUUGCAAUUACGAUACAAGAGAUUAUGAAAGUAUGAAAAGUUUAUGCGAUAGAUUUAAUAGAGCUAUUGAUAGCUUGGUACAACUGGAAAAAGGCACUAGUUUACCAUCGCAAAGAUUAAAUAAACGUCCAAGUAGAGGCUUACUUCGACAUAUACUUCAACAAACGUAUAACCAAGCUGUAGUUGAGCCUGACAAAUUAAAUCAAUAUGAACCAUUUUCACCUGAGGUUUACGGGGAAACAAGUUUUGAAUUAAUAUGUCAAAUGAUCGAUCAGGUUGAUGUUACCGAGGAUGAUGUUUUUGUCGAUUUAGGAUCCGGCGUUGGACAAGUAGUUCUCCAAAUGGCAGCGGCAACUUUAUGUAAAAUUUGUAUUGGUGUUGAAAGAGCCGAUGUACCUUCGAGAUAUGCCCAGAGCAUGGAAAUAAAUUUUCGAAAAUGGUUAAAUUGGUUUGGAAAAAUAUGCGGAGAAUAUCGUUUGGUGAAAGGUGAUUUUCUAGCAGAUGAGCAUCGCGAGAGCAUUACUGGUGCUACAAUUGUAUUUGUUAAUAAUUUUGCUUUUGGACCAACUGUAGAUCAUCAGUUAAAAGAAAGAUUUGCUGAUUUACGAGAUGGCGCUCGGAUAGUAUCCUCAAAAUCGUUUUGUCCGUUAAAUUUUCGAAUAACGGAUCGAAAUCUUAGUGAUAUUGGUACCAUAAUGCAUGUGUCUGAAAUGUCACCACUGAAAGGUUCAGUUUCAUGGACAGGCAAGCCUGUGUCCUAUUAUUUACAUGUUAUUGAUAGAACUAAAUUAGAACGUUAUUUCCAUCGUUUGAAAAAUAAUAAACAAGGUGGCUUAGACGAAAAUUCUGAUUCUGUGAUAAGUAACACUGCCAGCAAUAGUAGUAAGAUUUCUAGUAGAGGUGAAAGAAGCGACAGAGCCAAAAGAGAUCUUUCCAGACAGUUAGAUAGUCCUAAUCAUUCAGAACAGCAAGGAACAAAUAGCGAUUCUGAUAUGGAUGAAAAUAAUAUUAAAAAUCGUCGACAAUCAACUAAAAUUCGUAGGAAACUAAACAGAAAAAGUGCAAAUGGUAUAUCAAGACCUCCUCCCAGAGGAAGACAAAGAGGAAGAGGCGUGAAAAGGGCUAGACCUAAGAAAGCUAUUAAUAUAUCUGGACUCGAUUUAUUACAUAGUCAAACAUUAUUAAGUACAUCUCCGCAAGCUCUUGGGAAGAAACCACCUCCUGCACCAGGUUGCGUGGAUCAACAACUUUCUUCUUUAUCCCUUUCUUUACAAUCUCACUCCACCUCUGUGCACGAAGAACUCAGUAUACCACCUGCUCCGUCCGCGACUCCAUAUGCUUUACAAAUACUUUUGGAUUUAUACAGGGACCAAUUCAUGCUUAUGUUAGAAUCUAUGAGAACUCCUACUUACAGAGUAUCUGUUAACGCAGAUAUUUUAAAAGAGAGAGAAAGAAAUUCUAAACUACAAUCGAGAGCAGCACAAUUGGAAAAACAAAUAAAAGUAUUGAUCGAUGAUAGUGUAGCACUUUUAAAAGCCAGAAUGACCGAAUUAGGUAUAAAUGCUACUUCCCCUGGAGAUCUUCUAGCAAAAGCAAAAGAAAUAGUACUUAGACACAAGCAAUUGCAAGCUAAAGCAAGUAAACUACAAGCUCAAGUAGCAUCUAUGGAAUCAGAACAAACGAAAUUAACGGCACUUAGACACCAAGAAUUACAAGAAAAAUACAACGGCCACACUAAUAGCGUAUCUAACACACAACAACCACAUAUUGACGAGUAUAUAUUAAAAGAAAUAUCUGUUACAUUAUCCCAGCGCAAGAGAUUGCAAUUACAGGUGUCUAAACUGGAGCAUGAAUUGAAUGUAUUAGAAAGGGCUAGUAAUGAAAAGCAAGUCGCUGCUAUUGCUCAACAACAAAGAGAUGCAAUGAACAAUAAACAUUCUCAAAGUCAGCAUCAUCACCAAAAUGGAAAAAGCGGGUCUACCCGGAAAAAUAGAGAAGGACGUUCGAAAUCUCAGGAGUGGCCUGAUGUUCCAGAUAUCGGCAAAAUACAAGAAAAUAAUCCGGAAAUUUUAGCACAGAAAAUUUUAGAAACCGGAAGACAAAUAGAAGCUGGACGUAUUCCAAACAGACAAAAUUCUAAUGUUAAUAAUAAUUCUAGAACUAGACUGCCUCAAGCAUCUCUUAGUUUUUCUACGACAUCGUCAUGCAUUUCAUCAUCGCAAUCGCAUUCAAAUAUUAAAGAAAUGAUAAAUAGAACACAAGAACCACCUAGGGUAGCUAAUUUUGAAGAUAGAUUGAAAAGUAUCAUUACAAGUGUAUUGAAUGAAGAUCAACAAAAUCGUAGUAAACAACAAAUGCAGUUGCAAGUGCAACUGCAUCAUUCUGACACGGAUAAAAAGCGAGGCGUGUUACCGCAAAAUGUUUCUACUCCUGAUUAUACGCAGGUUUCUCCUGCAAAGCUUGCACUUCGACGUCACCUGUCUCAGGAACGUCUCUCUUCACAUCUAACUCCAUCCGAUAGAAUAGAUUCUAGACAAUCUGGUCACGAUAAUCGCAUUAUUGCUGGUGGAAGUGGAUUAUUGGGAACUAGAACAAUCGGUGAUCUUGUGAGUGGAGAGAUAGAGAGAACAUUAGAAAUAUCUAAUCAAACGAUAAUAAAUGGAACAGUUGACAUGAGUACAAUGAUGAGGCCAGAAACUGUAUACUCUCCUAUUAGUCGACCAGCUAGUGCUGAUGGAGAUGCCGGUUUAUCAACUCUUGCUCAUGUUGCUAGUUAUGCACCUACAUCGGUAACAACUGCUACAUCUACUCCUGCUAGUACUUCCAGAUCAUCUGUAUUAUUUACACCUGUGACGCAACCUCAAAGAUAUACACCUGUACAACUACCACGAGCAGACAUUAAACCCUAUCACGAAUCCUAUUUUUCUGACAAUCUUACCCAAUCGCUUACGCAUUCUCAUUCAUCCUCAUCCAUACAUUCGUCUCAAGCGUCUUCAAAUGGCGAACUUUUACCGGUAGAAGGACUAGCAGCCUCUUUACAUGCUCGAAUUUUGAACAAUCAUAAUGGCACUAAUAAAAGUGAUCAAGUGCUGCACAUCUCCAGAAGAUUUCAGCCAUAUCCUCGAUACGCAAAUAACAGUAAUAGCAACAACAAUACUAGUACAAAUGGCAGUAUGACUACAAUUUGUCAGACGCAGCCUGCAGUAUCUGUGAAAACGGAAGCAGUCAUAUCAACAGUAAGCACAAGUGGUGCACCUUUAAGUCCUCUCGUAGAACCACAUUCCAAUACUUCAACUCCUUUGGUUGACGAACCUCAAAUGACAACACAAAGACAGCGGAAUGGUAUUGGUGACGAUGAUGCACUGUAGCUGUUUGUUGGUUAGCUCUGUCACAUACUCGAUCUCGCUCACAUCACCUGAAGCUUGUUUUAUUAGAGAUUGAGACACAGAUCAAAGGGAGAAAUCAAAAAAUAUGGCUGCCUGUGGGUUGGUUCGUGGUUGCUGAUGGAGAAACAGAUUGGCAAGAUCGUAUCAGUUCUGGAUUUGAUCGUUUAGUUGCAUUUGCAUCAACAGAAUUAGACAAACGAAGAAG